rnacentral:rRNA from 1 species
GACGAACGCUGGCGGCGUGCUUAACACAUGCAAGUCGAACGAAGAGCGAUGGAAGCUUGCUUCUAUCAAUCUUAGUGGCGAACGGGUGAGUAACGCGUAAUCAACCUGCCCUUCAGAGGGGGACAACAGUUGGAAACGACUGCUAAUACCGCAUACGAUCUAAUCUCGGCAUCGAGGAUAGAUGAAAGGUGGCCUCUACAUGUAAGCUAUCACUGAAGGAGGGGAUUGCGUCUGAUUAGCUAGUUGGAGGGGUAACGGCCCACCAAGGCGAUGAUCAGUAGCCGGUCUGAGAGGAUGAACGGCCACAUUGGGACUGAGACACGGCCCAGACUCCUACGGGAGGCAGCAGGGGGGAAUCUUCCGCAAUGGACGAAAGUCUGGCGGAGCAACGCCGCGUGAGCGAUGACGGCCUUCGGGUUGUAAAGCUCUGUUAAUCGGGACGAAAGGCCUUCUUGCGAAUAGGGAGAAGGAUUGACGGUACCGGAAUAGAAAGCCACGGCUAACUACGUG